AUUCCAGCUCCAAUAGCGUAUAUUAAAGUUGUUGCAGUUAAAAAGCUCGUAGUUGGAUUUCUGGGCUGAGCGACCGGUCCGCCGCUGUGCGGUGUGUACUCGUGUUCGACUCGGCUCAUCCUUGUGGGGAAACGCAUUUCGGCAUUAGGUUGUCGAGGCGGGGAACCGCAUCGUUUACUGUGAAAAAAUUAGAGUGUUUAAAGCAGGCAAAUUGCUGUGAAUACAUUAGCAUGGAAUAAUAAGAUAGGACCUUGGUCUAUUUUGUUGGUUUACAUUCCAAGGUAAUGAUUAAUAGGGAUAGUUGGGGGUAUUCGUAUUCAAUUGUCAGAGGUGAAAUUCUUGGAUUUAUGGAAGACGAACUACUGCGAAAGCAUUUACCAAGGAUGUUUUCAUUG
rnacentral:rRNA from 1 species